GGGGGCGUACUGGUUUCGACUUGAGGUGUGAAGCCCGGCCCGCAUGCCGAGGAUGAUUCGUUGGCCUCGUAAAAAAUCGGAUCAAAAAAAUAAAUGCAGAUUACGAAGAUCUCGCUCUCGCGGCCUAAUUGACCGCGACGUUUUCCGGGGGACGCCUGCUACUCCGGAAAGCGACGACAGCAGGCUAAUUUUCAGCCGGGGUGGCCGCGGCGGGAAGUGAAUCGAUUUCGUGGCCGCUCUGGAGUCGGUAGCGUGGCGGUUCGCAGCAGGGCUCCAAGACCAAAAACCGCCUAAGCAUGUAGAAAGUUGUGCAGAUCGCUUGAAGGACAGGGGUUCGACUCCCCUCGCCUCCACGU
rnacentral:tmRNA from 1 species